GACGAACGCUGGCGGCGUGCUUAACACAUGCAAAUCGAACGGAAAGGCCCUGCUUUUGUGGGGUGCUCGAGUGGCGAACGGGUGAGUAACACGUGAGUAACCUGCCCUUGACUUUGGGAUAACUUCAGGAAACUGGGGCUAAUACCGGAUAGGAGCUCCUGCUGCAUGGUGGGGGUUGGAAAGUUUCGGCGGUUGGGGAUGGACUCGCGGCUUAUCAGCUUGUUGGUGGGGUAGUGGCUUACCAAGGCUUUGACGGGUAGCCGGCCUGAGAGGGUGACCGGCCACAUUGGGACUGAGAUACGGCCCAGACUCCUACGGGAGGCAGCAGUGGGGAAUAUUGCACAAUGAGCGGAAGCCUGAUGCAGCAACGCCGCGUGCGGGAUGACGGCCUUCGGGUUGUAAACCGCUUUCGCCUGUGACGAAGCGUGAGUGACGGUAAUGGGUAAAGAAGCACCGGCUAACUACGUG
rnacentral:rRNA from 1 species